rnacentral:rRNA from 1 species
UACGUAGGGGGCGAGCGUUAUCCGGAUUUACUGGGUGUAAAGGGAGCGUAGACGGCGUCGCAAGUCUGAAGUGAAAGCCCGUGGCUCAACCGCGGAACCGCUUUGGAAACUGCGAGGCUGGAGUGCUGGAGAGGUAAGCGGAAUUCCUGGUGUAGCGGUGAAAUGCGUAGAUAUCAGGAGGAACAUCAGUGGCGAAGGCGACUAUCUGGACAGCAACUGACACUGAGGCACGAAAGCGUGGGGAGCAAACAGG